UGUGUGAACUAGGGUUUUGCAUUUAGAUU
rnacentral:piRNA from 1 species